rnacentral:rRNA from 1 species
AUUGAACGCUGGCGGCAGGCUUAACACAUGCAAGUCGAGCGAGCGGCGGACGGGUACGUAAUGUCUGGGAAACUGCCUGAUGGCGAGGGUUAACUACUGGAACCGGUAGCUGAUAACGCAUACCAUCAGAUGUGCCCCGAUGGGAUUCGGGAUUGGGUGGGGUACGGGCUCACCUAGGCGACGAUCCCUAGCUGGUCUGAGAGGAUGACCAGCGACACGGGAACGUAGACACGGUCCAGACUCCUACGGGAGGCAGCAGUGGGGAACAUGGCGCAAUGGGCGCAAGCCGGAUGCAGCCAUGCCGCGUGUGUGAAGAAGGCCUUCGGGUUGUAAAGCACUUUCAGCGAGGAGGCGUUACUCGCAGAAGAAGCACCGGCUAACUCCGUUACAGCCGCCGCGGUAAUAC